rnacentral:rRNA from 1 species
AGGGUUUGAUUCUGGCUCAGGACGAACGCUGGCGGCGCGCCUAACACAUGCAAGUCGAACGGAAAUGAUUGAAGUUUACUUUGGUCAUUUUAGUGGCGGACGGGUGAGUAACACGUGAGCAACCUGCCUUUCAGAGGGGGAUAACGUUUGGAAACGAACGCUAAUACCGCAUAACGUAUACGGAUGGCAUCGUCUGUAUACCAAAGGAGGAAUCCGCUGAAAGAUGGGCUCGCGUCCGAUUAGCUAGAUGGUGAGGUAACGGCCCACCAUGGCGACGAUCGGUAGCCGGACUGAGAGGUUGACCGGCCACAUUGGGACUGAGACACGGCCCAG